UUGGGGAGGCCAGACUGCACUUGCCUGGCUCCCUGUAUGCCAACUGAGGAGCUCCUCAGAGACCUUGACAGGCUCCGUAGCUGGCAUUCAGGGGGCCAUGCAGGAGAAGUCGCUACCUCCCGCAA